CGGAGCGGCUGGUCGAGCCGCUGGCCUUCAUCUUCUUCAUCGCCAUGCGGGCCGGCGGGUCGUCCUCGGUGGAGUCGAGGUCGAUCUGCCAGGUAGGACGGCCUGGCUCCGACGCCCUAGCUGGCAUGUGCACCACUUCUUCCUCCUCCAUAGGCUCCUCGCCGAUGACCGCCGGCGGCGCGAUAGCCGUCUCCCAGUACACUGCACGCCGGUCAUUAGGAGCCCAGUAGAUCUUGUAUUUGCACCACUUCUUCCUCUGUUUAGCGUUGUCGAAGAUGACCUGAUUCAUGGCCCAGCGAAUGAUGUCAACUGCCAUCGCGCCCUUUGCUGGGUCAGGAAUCAGCGUCUUCAACUCUUCUUUAGUGGGCUUCAUGAGCACUGCAUUAGAUUCGUUGUGCAUGUCCGGCAUGGAGCCGAAGUUCGAGCACACCUCCAUGGUGUUCUCAAACUUGGUGCGGUCACCAGCCGACCACCGAGGAAGAAGGCCCUCCAGCCAAUACCCCAAGGGAAGGGGUUGGCGUUGAAGCUGGAGCUAGAGCUCAUGACGAUGGGAAGGAGGAAGGUUGACAGUGACAAAAGAGAGGGGGUGGAUCGAGGAGAGCAAUGAGAUGGGCAUGGAGGUCCUCCCGGCCGUUGACAACAAGGGCAAGUAGCCCAAGUAGCCCCUUCACCCAAUGCCCGACGAGGUUGAGCUGCCGCCCACCGUCGAGGAAGACCCGAAGACGCCUAAGGGUGGCGACGAUGAGGGCAUGGAGGAGCCCCCCAGCAACAAAGCGCCGCAACUACGGCCACUACCAUCAGGAGGAUGGCCCUUGCACCGAAGCUUGAGUGCAUCCCCAUGCCCCUGGACUUCACCAAGCACUUCGUCGCGGUGCCGACGAAGUUCAAGCUCAGGAACAACACCGGCUGCUCCUGGAAGGUGAUGGUCAAGCUGAUGAACGGCAGGGUGACCGUGGAUCAGGGUUAGGCCACCUACGCAGUUGUUCAUCAGAUCAAGAUCGGCUACAUGGUGACGUUCAAUCUCCUCACUCCCGACACCCUCAAGGUCAUCAUCUUUGACGACGAUGGCAUUGAGAUCGUCAACAAGUGCGGGAAGCACGACGAAGCCUUCGCCGACAAGGGGUAGGGCCAGGCCACCUCUUUUGAGCGUACAACCGAGUCUGCUUUGAAUAUGUUUAUGAUUUAUGCGUUGAACUGUUAUGAAGUGUGGUACUGCUUAUAUUUGAAUUAUGCUAGUUUAUACUCUGUUUA